AAUAGAUACCCGGGUAGUCCACGCCGUAAACGAUGAGUGCUAAGUGUUAGGGGGUUUCCGCCCCUUAGUGCUGCAGCUAACGCAUUAAGCACUCCGCCUGGGGAGUACGGUCGCAAGACUGAAACUCAAAGGAAUUGACGGGGGCCCGCACAAGCGGUGGAGCAUGUGGUUUAAUUCGAAGCAACGCGAAGAACCUUACCAGGUCUUGACAUCCCGUUGACCACUGUAGAGAUAUAGUUUCCCCCUUCGGGGGCAACGGUGACAGGUGGUGCAUGGUUGUCGUCAGCUCGUGUCGUGAGAUGUUGGGUUAAGUCCCGCAACGAGCGCAACCCUUGAUCUUAGUUGCCAUCAUUUAGUUGGGCACUCUAAGGUGACUGCCGGUGACGAAACCGGAGGAAGGUGGGGAUGACGUCAAAUCAUCAUGCCCCUUAUGACCUGGGCUACACACGUGCUACAAUGGACGAUACAAACGGUUGCCAACUCGCGAGAGGGAGCUAAUCCGAUAAAGUCGUUCUCAGUUCGGAUUGUAGGCUGCAACUCGCCUA
rnacentral:rRNA from 1 species